UUACUACUCCCUCUGACCCAAAAUUCUUGUCUUAGGUUUGUCUAAAAAUAAAUGUAUCUAAAUACUAAAACUCGACUAGAUACAUUUAUAUUUAGACAAAUCUAAGACCAGAAUUUUGGGAUGAAGAGAGUACGUA
rfam:Hordeum vulgare subsp. vulgare, WGS project CAJW01000000 data, contig: morex_contig_54747